rnacentral:rRNA from 1 species
UACAGAGGUCUCAAGCGUUGUUCGGAUUCAUUGGGCGUAAAGGGUGCGUAGGUGGCGCUGUAAGUCGGGUGUGAAAUUUCGGAGCUUAACUCCGAAACUGCAUUCGAUACUGCGGUGCUUGAGGACUGGAGAGGAGACUGGAAUUCAUGGUGUAGCAGUGAAAUGCGUAGAGAUCAUGAGGAAGACCAGUGGCGAAGGCGGGUCUCUGGACAGUUCCUGACACUGAGGCACGAAGGCCAGGGGAGAAACGGG